rnacentral:rRNA from 1 species
GACGAACGCUGGCGGCGUGCUUAACACAUGCAAGUCGAACGGUGACGAGGAGCUUGCUCCUCCGAUCAGUGGCGAACGGGUGAGUAACACGUGAGUAACCUGCCCCAGACUCUGGGAUAACAGUUGGAAACAGCUGCUAAUACCGGAUACGAGACGGAGAGGCAUCUCUACCGUCUGGAAAGUUUUUCGGUCUGGGAUGGACUCGCGGCCUAUCAGCUUGUUGGUGAGGUAAUGGCUCACCAAGGCGACGACGGGUAGCCGGCCUGAGAGGGCGACCGGCCACACUGGGACUGAGACACGGCCCAGACUCCUACGGGAGGCAGCAGUGGGGAAUAUUGCACAAUGGGCGAAAGCCUGAUGCAGCGACGCCGCGUGAGGGAUGACGGCCUCGGUUGUCGAACCUCUUCUAGCAGGAAGAAGACGAAGUAGACGGUACCUGCAGAAGAAGCACCGGCGUAACUACGUAGCCAGCAGCCGCGGUAAACGUAGACGUA